rnacentral:rRNA from 1 species
AGUGAACGCUGGCGGUAGGCCUAACACAUGCAAGUCGAACGGCAGCACAGUAAGAGCUUGCUCUUACGGGUGGCGAGUGGCAGACGGGUGAGGAAUACAUCGGAAUCUACUUUUUCGAGGGGGAUAACGUAGGGAAACUUACGCUAAUACCGCAUACGACCUACGGGUGAAAGCAGGGGAUCUUCGGACCUUGCGCGAUUGAAUGAGCCGAUGUCGGAUUAGCUAGUUGGCGGGGUAAAGGCCCACCAAGGCGACGAUCCGUAGCUGGUCUGAGAGGAUGAUCAGCCACACUGGAACUGAGACACGGUCCAGACUCCUACGGGAGGCAGCAGUGGGGAAUAUUGGACAAUGGGCGCAAGCCUGAUCCAGCCAUACCGCGUGGGUGAAGAAGGCCUUCGGGUUGUAAAGCCCUUUUGUUGGGAAAGAAAAGCAGCAGGUUAAUACCCCGCUGUUCUGACGGUACCCAAAGAAUAAGCACCGGCUAACUUCGUG